CUGCGGACGAUGAAGGAAGAAGCUGGUGUACCGUGUAGCGUGAGGGAGUGGCAAGCAUUAAGAAAAACAAAGAGGGAUGGCAUGUGCUGUUGUACACAGGAUGAUCAAGGAAGGUGACUCAGGAGGUGACCUUCCAACAGACUGGAAGAUAGAGGGAGAGUUGCAACGUGUAGGGGAGUGGUUCCGUCGUGGUGCUCUGGCUGCUCUGCCCGUCUCCACGUAGGCCAGCUGAUCUCAGUGACUGGCAGAACACCCUGUGACCCUCAGAACACAGCUCGACAGGCCGCUUCUUUCUCACCUCCAUGUUGACCAAGAAGGCCAUCAUGAGACGGUUCCUCAUCACCCGAGGUUCUGGUGAGCGCCUGACCUGGUCGGGGCUUGAUGAAGAUGUGUUAGAAGGCCGGCUUGCUAUUUCACCGUGCCAGGGCUGCUCCAGUGGUCUGAGGCUGUUCCUGGCUGCGGGAAUCUUGUUUCUGACUCAAGCCCUAGAGAGAUCACCAUUAAGACUUUGGAGAAUGUGAGAAUUUCGGCUUCAGAGGCAAAUGUUUUCCCAUCAAGAAAUGGUAAAAUUUAAGUCAUGACUUACUGUCCAAUCCCCACUUGUCCCAUUUAGGAAGAAGCUUCAGGGAUGAGAUAAGGGCAUAAGGACUCAGUGUCUACACUCCAGUGACACCUGAGCUCCGUGUCUCCUCCCAUUCUGGUCUCUAGCCUUGAUUCUCAGCAUACCUUUGUCACCCGUGCCACCCAGGCUUUCCCUCAAAUCAUACUCCUUUUUGUUCCCGAGGGUGGGGCCCAACUUCAGGUUUCCUUUUAGCCUAUGUUAGUUAUAAAAAGCAAGCACAGCCAGUGUGGGCCAGUGCUCAUCUUUGCGUUUCUCAACUUGGGGGGCCAAAUCGGCAGGAGGUGCAUGAAGGAAGGAGGAGUCUGGAAAAGACAUGGCCUCUGCCUGUUUCUGCCACCACUUGAGUCACUAUAGUGAUGUGGCGUUAUCUUCAAACAGCUCUGGCUUUUCUGUCCAAAUCUGCUUUUGUCUGUUCAUUUGGGUAGGAUCCUCAACCGUACCUUGGACAAUAAAACAGCCCCGGAUCCUGGUAGAGUGAAUGGGACUUGUGGUCCCCCAUGGGCUUGAGCUUCCUUUCUAGAUGACACGAUUGUAACAAAGGUCACUUGCAACCUCCAGGAACUACUGAUGACUUGAUACCCCCAGGCCCGAGACCCCCCUUUCCCCACCCUCUGACCUGCUAUUCGUGCAGAUAAACUCUGCCCCUUUC
rnacentral:lncRNA from 1 species